UACGUAGGGGGCAAGCGUUGUCCGGAAUCAUUGGGCGUAAAGCGCGUGUAGGCGGCCCGGUAAGUCCGCUGUGAAAGUCGGGGGCUCAACCCUCGGAUGCCGGUGGAUACUGUCGGGCUAGAGUGCGGGAGAGGCGAGUGGAAUUCCUGGUGUAGCGGUGAAAUGCGCAGAUAUCAGGAGGAACACCCGUGGCGAAAGCGGCUCUCUGGGACGGUA
rnacentral:rRNA from 1 species